UAGAAAUCGAACCGUCAGGGAGAGACGGCAUGUUUAUCAAAGAAACACAAUAAGAAUACAAAAAAAAAACAUUUUCUCCCAAAUCAAUUGAUCUCUCCAUAACCUAGUCUCGUAUUCUCUCUCUUCUUUCAAGAACUCUAUCGAUCCGAGACGCUUCCAGAAAUUUCUGAAACAACAAAUCCCUUUGAAUUUUCAGAUUAGUAAGUGUUUUUCGAUCUCUACAAAUCGUGAAUUUGCUAAAACUUCGCAUAAAAUCUCUCUCUCUCAUCGCAAUUUUGUUUGUAAUUGAUGUUGAUCAGAUUUUCAUUUUCUCUCGUUAUUCGACAGAAACCGAUCUGAUUGGUUAGGAGUUCUUGCUCGUCGUCGUCGAGUUUUAUAACAGAAAUGGAGAGUAAAGCUUCAAGAAGAAGAGGCUCUGAACAAGAUUCAAGUGAUUGAAGCCUUUGGUGGACGAAAAUGAAGGAGAUUGAUGAGAUUAGGUGUGACAAGCAGUCUGAAUUAGAGCAGAUGACACAACAUUACCUCAAAAGCAAUGAUGACAACCUGUGAGGAUAACAAGGUGAUCUUUGUUCGGCGCUUGACUCCGCUUCACACCCUCUCUCUAAGGUAAAUUCUAUGUAUGUCCUAGACUUUCCCGCUUUAUUUUGAAAGCUCUUUUAUUCCAGUUUUGUUUUGAGAUUUUUGAAAUUAGGAUUCCUUUUGAUUCUUCUUUUAAUACGACUUUAAAGCUUUUUGUUUUCUUAUGGUUUUAUCAGAAGCUAAAUAUUUGGUAGACGUUCUUCUAAUGUUCUACCAAAUCUUGUUUGGGCACUGUUUUGGUUUCGUUUUUAUUUUGUUUUCCAAACCCCAAAAAAUAUCAUAGACAGUCACUAAUCUAAUAGUGUUCUGCUAGAUUAUUAUUUGGGAACAUUGUUUUGAUUUUGUUUUGUUUUUAUUUUUCAAACCCCAAGAAAGAUUCUACACAGACACUAAUCUAAUAGUGUUCUGUUCGAUUCUUAUUUGGGAACAUUGUCCCUUGCUGCCUCUAGAAGAAACUUAUGCCAUCCCCUGUAGUAAGAUUGUUAAUUGGACCUAGAAUAUGGGUUGGUAGUGGAUGUAUAAAGAAGGAUGUUAGGGGAUGGCAAAUAAGAGCAUGCGACUCAGUAGUCUUAAAAGACAAAAGAAGUUUUAGUACCCACGGCUUGAGAAGAAUCUGUUUUCAGUUAUUUGUAUGGUUGCGGUUUGAGAAAGUCUUAAAGACAAAGACUAUAACUGAAAACAGAUUCUUUCCUUACCCACGGCUUACAAAUAUCUUGACAAAGACAAAGACAAUGUGAGGGGGCCUUAAGACUUGUUGGAUUGGAAAUAACGACCAACUGCCCAGAAAAAAACAUUAGUGGAUGGAUAAUAAUACCACACGGCUUACAAGUCUUAAACACCACACUUUUACUACCCACGGCUUGAUGAGAAUCUGUUUUCAGUUAUUUGAAUGGUUGCGGUUUGAAAAAGUCUUAAGACAAAGACUAGAACUGAAAACAGAUUCCUUACCCACGGCUUACAAAUGUCUUGCCAAAGACAAAAAAAACUGUAGGAGGUUUAAGACUUGUUGGAUUAGAAAUAACGACCAACAGGCUAAAAAAAGGCAUUAGUGGAUGGAAAAUAAGAUCUCACGACUUACAAGUCUUAAAGACAAAAGACUUUUACGAGAAAGUCUUAAAAGACAAAAGACUUAUGAGAAAGUCUUAAGACAAGGGCCAUAACUGAAAACAGAUUCCUUACUUACCCACGGCUUACGAAGAUUUACUACCCACGGCUUGAUGAGAAUCUGUUUUCAGUUAUUUGAAUGGUUGCGGUUUGAGAAAGUCUACAGACAAAGACUAUAACUGAAAACAGAUUCCUUACCCACGGCUUACAAAUGUCUUGACAAAGACAAAGAAACUGUAGGAGGUUUAAGACUUGUUGGAUUGGAUAUAACGACCAACAGCCUAGAAAAAAAAGUCAUUAGUGGAUGGAAAAUAAGACCAUACGGCUUACAAGUCUUAAAGACAAAAGACUUUUACGAGAAUCUGUUUUCAGUUAUUUGAAUGGUAUGGACUGAGAAAGUCUUAAGACAAGGACUAUAACUGGAAAAGGAUUCCUUACCCACUGCUUACAAAAAUUUACUACCCACGGCUUGAGAAGAAUUUGUUUUCAAUUAUUUGAAUGGUUGCGAUUUGAGAAAGUCUAAAGACAAAGACUAUAACUGAAAACAGAUUCCUUACCCACGGCUUACAAAUGUCUUGACAAAGACAAAAAAACUGUAGGAGGUUUAAAACUUGUUGGAUUGGAUAUAACAACCAACAACCCAGAAAAAAAGUCACUGGUGGAUGAAAAAUAAAAGACCACACGGCUUACAAGUCUUAAAAGUUAAGACAAAACACUUUUACUACCCACGGCUUGUCGAGAAUCUGUUUUUGAUUAUAUGGAUGGAUAGAGUAAUGACCAACGGAUUAAGAUCUCAAGACAGAGACUACUAAUUGAAAACAGAUUCCAUAUUUCACUACUCAUGGCUUGCAAAAGACAGAUCGGUAAAAAGACUUGUUGGAUGGAAACAUAAUACGAAAGACAAUGUCAAUUGGGCAGUUCUAAGCCUUGCUGGAUGGAAAUUAACGACCAGCUGCUUAGAAAAAGUUGUUUGGGGAUGGCAACUAAAACCAAACGGCUUAUAAUUCUCAAGGCAAAAGACUGUGAUUUACUACCCACGGCUUUAUCCACCAUCUGUUUUCAGUUAUUUGAAUGGAAUGGAGUUGUUAACGACCAAUAGCUUAAGAAUGUCUUAAGUCAAAGACUAAGAACUGAAAACAGAUUCCUUACCCACGGCUUACAAAUAUCUUUUAGAUAAAAGACAAUGAAAAUGGGGUAAAUAUAAGACUUGCUGGAUAGAAAUAACACCACACAGAUUACAAGUCUUAAGACAAAAGACUUUUUUUUACUACCCACGGCUUUCAAAAUUCUGUUUUUGAUCGCUAUUGAUGGAUGGAGUAACAACCAACGGCUUAAGAAAGUCUUAAGACAAAGGCUAAGAUUGAAAACAGAUUCCGUACUUCACUCCACUUGGCUUACAAAAAAGAUCAUAGACAGACACUAAUCUAAUAGUGUUCUGUUAGAUUCUUAUUUGGGAACAUUGUCCCUUGUUACCUCUAGAAGAAACUUAUGCCAUCCCCUAUUGUAAGAUUGUUAAUUUGACCGAGAAUAUGGGUUGGUAGUGCAUGUACAAAGAAGGAUGUUAGGGGAUGGCAAAUAAGAGCAUGCGACUCAGUAGUCUUAAAGACAAAAGAAGUUUAAGUACCCACGGAUUGAGAAGAAUCUGUUUUCAGUUAUUUGCAUGGUUGCGGUUUGAGAAAGUCUUAAAGACGAAGACUGUAACAGAAAAUAGAUUCCUUACCCACGGCUUACAAAUGUCUUGACAAAGACAAAGACAAUGCGAGGGGCUUAAGACUUGUUGGAUUGGAAAUAACGACCAACAGCCCAUAAAAAAAUCAUUAGUGGAUAGAUAAUAAUACCACACGGCUUACAAGUCUUAAAGAUGAGACUUUAACUACCCACGGCUUGACAAGAAUCUCUUUUCAGUUUAUUUUCAUGGUUACAUUUUGAAAAAGUCUUAAGACAAAGACUAUAACUGAAAACAGAUUCCUCUUUACCCACGGCUUACAAAUGUCUUGACAAAGACAAAUAAAAUGUAGGAGGUUUAAGACUUGUUGGAUUGGAAAUAACAACCAACAGUCCAGAAAAAAGGCAUUAGUAGAUGGAACAUAAGAUCACACGGCUUACAAGUCUUAAAGACAAAAGACUUUUACAAGGAAGUCUUAAGACAAGGACCAUAACCGAAAACAGAUUCCUUCCUUACCCAUGGCUUGAUGAGAAUCUGUUUUCAGUUGUUUGAUUGGUUACGGUUUGAGAAAGUCUAAAGACAUAGACUAUAACUGAAAAAAGAUUCAUUACCCAUGGCUUACAAAUUCCUUCCUUACCCACGGCUUGAUGAGAAUAUGUUUUCAGUUAUUUGAAAAAAGUCUAAAGACAUAGACUAUAACUGAAAGCAGAUUCAUUAAGGGCUUACAAAUGUCUUGACAAAGACAAAGAAACUGUAGGAGGUUCAAGACUGGUUGGAUUGGAAAUAACGACCAACAGCCCAGGAAAAUGUCGUCAUUGGAUGGAAAAUAAGACCACACGGCUUACAAGUCUUAAAGACAAAAGACUUUUACGAGGAAGUCUUAAGACAAGGACCAUAACCGAAAACAGAUUCCUUCCUUACCCACGGCUUGAUGAGAAUCUGUUUUCAGUUAUUUCAAUGGUUACGGUUUGAGAAAGUCUAAAGACAUAGACUAUAACUGAAAACAGAUUCAUUACCCACGGCUUACAAAUUCCUUCCUUACCAACGGCUUGAUGAAAAUCUGUUUUCAGUUAUUUGAACAAAGUCUAAAGACAUAGACUAUAACUGAAAACAGAUUCAUUACUCAGGGCUUACAAAUGUCUUGACAAAGACAAAAAAAUGUGGGAGGUUUAAGGCUUGUUGGAUUGGAAAUAACGACCAACAGCCCAAGAAAAUGUCAUUAGUGGAUGGAAAAUAAGACCACAUAGCUUACAAGUCUUAAAGACAAAAGACUUUUACGAGGAAGUCUUAAGACAAGGACUAUAACUUUAAACAGAUUCCUUCCAACCCACGGCUUACAAAGAUUUACUACCCACGGCUUGAUGAGAAUCUAUUUUCAGUUAUUUGAACGGUUUGAGGAAGUCUAAAGACAUAGACUAUAACUGAAAACAGAUUCCUUACCCACGGCUAACAAAUGUCUUGAUAAAGACAAAGAAAAUGUAGGAGGUUUAAGACUUGUUGGAUUGGAUAUAACGACCAAUAACCCAGAAAAAAAGUCAUUGGUGGAUGAAAAAAAAAAAGACCACACGGCUUACAAGUCUUAUGAGUUAAGACGAACACUUUUACUACCCACGGCUUGACAGAAUCUGUUUUAGAUUAUAUGGACGGAUAGAGUAAUGGCCAACGUCUUAAGAUCUCAAGACAGAGACUACUAAUUGAAAACAGAUUCCUUAUUUCACUACUCAUGGCUUACAAAAGACAGAUCGAUAAAAAGACUUGUUGGAUGGAAACAUAAUACGAAAGACAAUGUCAAUGGGGCAGUUCUAAGCCUUGCUGGAUGGAAGUUAACGACCAGCUGCUUAGAAAAAGUUGUUUGGGGAUGGCAAUUAAAACCAAACGGCUCAUAAGUCUCAAGGCAAAAGACUGUGAUUUACUACCCAUGGCUUCACUCCUCAUGGCUUACAAAAAAAGAUUUGCUGGAUGGAAAUUAACGACCAGCUGAUUGUAACAAGUUAUCAAGGGUUGGCAGAUAAAACCAAACGGCUUAAGCAUUAGAAGGAACAAGGUAAGCUUUGGGAAUACUAUGUAAGUAAAGACUAAUUAUUUUUUAUUUCUUCAGGUUUGUGCUUCGGAAGGAGCAUGCUGUUUAAGAGAUUAUGAGGAAAUUUCAAGUGCAUCAGACUUAUGCAACAGGUUUGUGCUUCAGAAGGAGCAUGUUGUUUAAGAGAUUCUGAGGAAAUUUGAAGUGUAGCAGUUCUGUGACAGGUAUUUGCUUUUCAAACUUCUUAACUUGCUCGACUCUAGAAACUAUAUGGGUUAUAUCCACUAAACCCUUUGUUUAACAUUCUGAAUUUGGGGGAAUGACAAUCAUGUAGUUGUAUUACUAAAUUUAACUGUUGUAUGAGCUUCCUACA